CCUACGGGUGGCAGCAGUGGGGGAUAUUGCACAAUGGGGGGAACCCUGAUGCAGCGACGCCGCGUGAGCGAAGAAGUACCUCGGUAUGUAAAGCUCUAUUAGCAGGGAAGAAAAUGACGGUAUCUGACUAAUAAGCACCGGCUAAAUACGUGCCAGCAGCCGCGGUAAUACGGAGGGGGCAAGCGUUACCCGGAUUUACUGGGCGUAAAGGGAGCGUAGGCGGGCUGGCAAGUCUGAUGUGAAAUCCUAGGGCUGAACCCCGGGCCUGCAUUGGAAACUGGUGGGCUGGAGUAUGGGAGGGGCAGGCGGAAUUCGUGGUGUAGCGGUAAAAUGCGUAGAUAUUAAGAGGAAUACCGAUGGCGAAGGCGACCUGCUGGACGAUGACUGACGCUGAGGCGCGAAAGCGUGGGGAGCAAACAGGAUUAGAUACCCUUGUAGUC
rnacentral:rRNA from 1 species